rnacentral:rRNA from 1 species
CGUAUCCAACCUUCCCUACUAGUAGAGAAUAGCCCGGCCGGAAAGUACGGAGUUAAUAGCUCUAUGUUGUUCGAAGCGGGCGAUCUAAUUUGUAACCAAAAGGACGUUGCCGCUAUAGGAUGGGAGUGCGUCUGAUUAGGUAGUAGGCGGGGUAACGGCCCACCUAGCCGUCGAUCAGUAGGGGUUCUGAGAGGAAGGUCCCCCACAUUGGAACUGAGACACGGUCCAAACUCCUACGGGAGGCAGCAGUGAGGAAUAUUGGUCAAUGGACGAGAGUCUGAACCAGCCAAGUAAGCGUGCAGGAUGACGGCCCUAUGGGUUGUAAACUGCUUUUACCAGGGGAUAAAGUGCGGGACGUGUCCCGUUUUGUAGGUACCUGGUGAAUAAGGACCGGCUAAUUCCGUGCCAGCCGCUGC